rnacentral:misc_RNA from 1 species
UCUCCGUAGGUGAACCUGCGGAGGGAUCAUUACAGAGUUCAUGCCCUACCGGGUAGAUUUCCCACCCUAUGUUAUUAUUACUUUGUUGCUUUGGCGGGCCGUUAGGCUCCGGCCCGACUACCGGCCCCGGCUGGUAAGCGCCCGCCAGAGGACCCAAAACCCUGAAUAUUAGUGUCGUCUGAGUACUAUAUAAUAGUUAAAACUUUCAACAACGGAUCUCUUGGUUCUG